UGCCGNGUAGCUCAGUUGGUUAGAGCACCACCUUGACAUGGUGGGGGUCGUUGGUUCGAGUCCAAUCGCGCCUACCA
rnacentral:tRNA from 1 species